rnacentral:rRNA from 1 species
GUAGGUGGCAAGCGUUGUCCGGGAAUUAUUGGGGCGUAAAGCGCGCGCAGGCGGUUCUUUAAGUCUGAUGUGAAAGCCCACGGGCUCAACCGUGGAGGGUCAUUGGAAACUGGAGAACUUGAGUACAGAAGAGGAAAGCGGAAUUCCACGUGUAGCGGUGAAAUGCGUAGAGAUGUGGAGGAACACCAGUGGCGAAGGCGGCUUUCUGGUCUGUAACUGACGCUGAGGCGCGAAAGCGUGGGGAGCAAGCAGGAUUAGAUACCCUGGUAGUCCACGCCGUAAACGAUGAGUGCUAAGUGUUAGGGGGUUUCCGCCCCUUAGUGCUGCAGCUAACGCAUUAAGCACUCCGCCUGGGGAGUACGGCCGCAAGGCUG